GAGAAACUGCGGAAAGUUGUCGGACCUGCCAGUUUGGUCUUUGGUACUGAUCGUCUUUAUUAGUCGACUGGAUGUCUCAGGCUCAAUAGAGUUGAGGAGAGUAUUGAAUGUCACAAGUCAUAGGUUAGUGAAAAGAGGAACUAACGGAUUCAGUGAAGAGGAAAAGGUGGCUAUGGUUCUUGCCCAUAACGAGGCAAGAGCCAAAGAAGGUGCAGCCGAUAUGCUUGCUAUGCACUGGGAUGAGGCUCUAGAAAACUCUGCCCAGGCUCAUACAGAUAGAUGUAAUUUUGAACACAGCACCAAAAUGGAACGUUCGAAUAUUGGAGACCAUAAGAGAGUUGGGGAAAAUCUGUACUUUUCAACAGG
rnacentral:sRNA from 1 species